UUCCUCCUCUCUCCUGUUCAAGAUGGGGAAGAAAGAUCCACAGACUGCUUGCUUGCUGCAAAGGUGUGAGAAGACCGUGGCGAGUCUCUCCUCAUCAGAGUUUCAAGGCCAUACAAGAAUGAAGGCUCUUUCUUUUAAGUUUGCCUGAGCCUUUCUAAUCGGCUGCAAGUGCACUGAGGUCUGAGUUUCUCAAGAUGCUUUGGGCAAGGACGACGCCUGAAGAUCUCAACAUAUGAAUUGACUGAAGGCCUAGAGCUGUGCUGCUGAGUUCAAAGAUGCCUCUUUGCAACAUGAUGCUCACUUCUCAACAACAAAGGUGUUUGCCCAGGUUAACAUCAAUGCUGACCUGGGAACCCAAGUCAUGAGGAUGGCCAACGCUGAUGUGUGACACCAUCUGAUUCAAUCGUGAGUGUGUGUGGGGAUCAGCACCGAUGCAGGACUGCUGCAGGUGUGACACCGUCUGACUUGUGGUGUGUGGGGAACAGAUGCAGGACUGCUCCAGGUGUGACACCGUCUGACUUGUCGUGUGUGUGGGGAACAGAUGCAGGACUGCUCCAGAAACCGGUUGUCAUGAAGAGAGAUCCCAAGCCAUCUUGUUCUGCAACACAAUCCUGCAGUUUGCCAAGCUGUAAUACAGCCUUUCCUGUACAUGUUUGGUGGCCAGUUGACUGCCUCCUGUCUUAAUGUGUAUUUCCAGAUUGCAAUUUAUUAUCAAAUAAAAAAUGGUACGAAAACUA